UACGUAGGGACCGAGCGUUGUCCGGAAUCAUUGGGCGUAAAGAGCGUGUAGGCGGCCACUUAAGUCCUGCGUGAAAUCUUGCGGCUCAACCGCAAGCGGUCAUGGGAAACUGGGUGGCUAGAGUGCGGGAGAGGAGAGUGGAAUUCCUGGUGUAGCGGUGGAAUGCGCAGAUAUCAGGAAGAACACCCGUGGCGAAGGCGGCUCUCUGGAACGCAACUGACGCUGAGACGCGAAAGCGUGGGAGCAAACAGG
rnacentral:rRNA from 1 species